rnacentral:sRNA from 1 species
AAAUAAAAAUCUAUGUUUCUUUCUCUAUCAUUUGAUAUGCAUUUUGUUUAAUGAUUUUUAAAUUUUAUAUUACUGAGCACUAUACGAAUAAUAUCUACACAGAUAUAGACUGCUGUACAGAUAUAAACUGCUGUACAGAUAUAAAUCACUGUACAGAAGAAUAUUUAUUCGGAAACUUAUACUUCUUAAAAAAAUUUUAGAUAUAAAUUACUGUAUAUAUAGAGACUAAUGUAUAUAUAUGAUUACUGUACUCAUAUAGACCACUAUACAGAUAUAAACCACUGUACAGAUUGAUGCAUCUGUUAAACGAAAUCAUAAUUUACUAUUAAACAAACAAGUAUCUUCUGUACAGAUGCAUCAUUUGUACAGUGGUCUAUAUCUGUACAAUGGUUUAUAUUUGUACACUAGUUUAUAUCUGUACAAUAGUCUAUAUUUUUGUACAGUGCCCUAUAAUAUAAAAUUUAAAAAUAUUAAACAAAAUGCAUAUCAAAUGAUAGAGAAUAAAACAUAAAUUUUAUUUAUAUGAUUAAUUUUAGAAAAAUAAAAU